UUCAACAUCCUCCUCUUCCAUUUUAAACACAAGAACUCAAAGUUGGGAGAAGGCAUAUGGUCAUUGUUUUCAAUGGGUUUAACAAUCAAUCUGCAUAAUGAUUUUAUGCUUAAUUUUAGAAAAUGAACAAAUAGACGCACAUUGUGACGCAGAUAUAAAAAAGUGAUUAUUAUCUUGGUUUUUAUGUUACCAUUUUUCAGAAAAAAACAAAAAGAGAAAACAUAAUAUGAAUAAGAAAAAUAACAUUUUAUUAAUGAUGACAAAAUCU
rnacentral:lncRNA from 1 species